UUGCUUUGGCAGCACAUAUACCAAAAAUUGGAACGACACAGAGGAGGUCAGCAUGGUCCCUGCGCAGGAUGACACACAAAUCCGUGAAGCUUCCGUGUUUUAC
rnacentral:snRNA from 1 species